CCUACGGGUGGCAGCAGUGAGGAAUAUUGGUCAAUGGGCGCAAGCCUGACCCAGCAACGUCGCGUGAAGGAUGAAGGCCCUCUGGUUUGUAAACUCUUUUAGUGAGGAAGUAACGACUGACACGUGUGGCUGGAUAGAGAGCAGCUAAAUACGUGGCAUCAGCCGCGGUAGUGCGGAGGUGGGAAGCGUUAUGGGGAUUUAGUGGGUGUAAAGGGUGUAUAGGGGGGAAUGGAAGGGAGAUGGGAAAAUCAUGGGCUCAACCCACGGCCUGCAUUUGAAACUGUAGUUCUUGAGUGAGGGAGAGGCAGGCGGAAUUCCGGGUGUAGCGGUGAAAUGCGUAGAUAUAAGGAGGAACACCGGUGGCGAAGGCAGCCUGCUGGACAUUAACUGACGCUGAGGCGCGAAAGCGUGGGGAGCAAACAGGAUUAGAUACCCUUGUAGUC
rnacentral:rRNA from 1 species